CCUCACUCUCUGCUCUCUCUGUGCCUCUCUGUGCUUCUUUGCCAUCCCUCUCUUGUCUCUGUGCUCACUCUCAGCUAGGUCUGCUGUAUCUCUCCCCAUGUUUGCUCUCUGCCCCCUCUGCCUCUGUGCCCUCUCCCCAUCCCUCUGCAUCUCCCUCUUUACUCUCCAGGUCUCCAAGCUCUCUCUCCAGUCUCUCUUUGCCUCCUCCUGCCCCGGGCCAUGUCUCCUGCCCUUAUCUCGGCGUUAAUUAAUGAACUGGUGGAGGAUGACAGGAGUGUGGGUGUGCUGACCUGAGAUAGCUGACUGUGGCCUGAGGGUCUGUCUUUGCACACUGUGGGGGUGCUGGGGAUGUGCUGGGACACCCCGAGGAUGGAGAGGAUCCCCAGGGCACUGGAGGUGCUGAUGGGGCUGGCUGGCCCUUGCUGGGUGAGCAGGGUUUGACAGACUGUCCAAAGAGCGAUGGUGAGAGGAGAGCCUGACUGUGGGGAUCACACUGGCCACGGCACUGACCAUGGCACUGACCACAGAACUGGCCACAGCACUGACCAUGGCACUGACCACAGAACUGGCCACAGCUUCGUGGGACUUAAUGAUCAUGGAAUCACACAACAGUUUGGGGUGGAAGAGGAAGAGACCUAAAAGCUCAUCUCAUUCCACCCCUUCCAUGGGCAGAGACACCUUCCACUAUCCCAGGUGCUCCAACCUGGCCUUGGACACUUCCAGGGAUCCAGGGGCAGCCACAGCUGCUCUGGGCACCCUGUGCCACGGCCUCAGCACCUGUACAAAGAAGAAUUUCUCCCCAAAAUCCCAUUGAACUCUGCCAACUUUACCCUGAAGCAGAGCUGGCUUUUGCUACUUGAAAUCCAGACUAGUCUGUAAGACCGGGCCUUGGAUGUCAAACUCUCUUUGAUCUUAAUCUCUUCAGGUUGUAAUUUAAUGUUUCGAAAUCAACCUAAUCACACGCAGAAGCCUAAUUAGCAACUGUCAGAUGGCCCAGGGCAAAUCCAGCCAUGUGGGCUCAGUUGGGAUGAUGCAAACCUGACUUCAAGGCUUUCAAAUGCUCCAGCUGUGUUUAAAAGGCAAAACAAGGGAAAAAAACCCCCCAAACUCUCCCUAAACUCAACAUUCCAACUACUUAUGGGGUUUUUUUUCAGACUUUUGGCUAAUUUAGGCCAAAUUUAUUAAAGACUGAUUAUUUAGUUGUUGUGUACUGACGAUGAUUAAAACCUAACCCUGGGUGCUGUGUGCUGUUAAUGAUUGCCAGCCCAAUAAAACCUUCAAGUUUCAAA